UCCACUAUUGCUUAUUAUCCUUCUGAGGUAACUUCUGAUUUCUAAUAGCUUGAGAUUUUAUACUUUCUUUCUGUACUGCUAAUUUAGGAUGAAAAUAUUUUGUUGACUUUGUUGUGGGUGUUUUGUAACUCAUUUUGCUUCUUUUCCACAUCAUUAACAAAGCCUGUUCAUGUAGUUUAGCUUGUUCAUACACCUCUUCCAAGGUUGUAGGAUGAGAUAAAUCAAUAUAUG
rnacentral:lncRNA from 1 species